ensembl:lncRNA
CUCGGAGCCGCCGCCAACCGGAGCCUCUGCGGGCCGAAAGCCAUUGAGAAACCCCCGGAGGGCCCAAAGCCCCAUUGAGAAAACUCUCAUAGACCCAAAAACCCAUUGAGAAAACUCCCGUAGGGCCCAAAACCCAUCGAGAAAACUGCAAUGGACCCAAAACCCGUUGAAAAAAAAAAAACCUUCUACAGACACAAAAGCCGCUGAGAAAACUCCCGCGGGGCCCAAACCCCAUCGGGAAAAUUCCUCUGGACCCAAAACCCAUUGGGAAAACUCUCAUGGAUCCAAAACCCAUUGAAAAAAAGUCCUAUAGACCCAAAACCCAUUGAGAACCGCCCCCCCCCCAGGGCCCACACCCCAUUGAGAAAACUCCAAUGGACACAAAAUCCGUGGAGAAAACCCCCAUCGACCCCAAACCCCAUUGAGAAAACUCCCACAGACCCAAAACUCAUUGAAAAAGAAAACUUCUACAGAGCCAAAAUCCACUGAGAAAAAUCCUACAGACCCCAAAACCCAUUGGGAAAACUCCUACGGACACAAAACCUAUCAAGAAAAUACCCAUACACCCAAAACUCAUUGAGAAAAACUUCUAUAGACCCAAAUCCUAUUGGGAAAAAAUCCUACUGACCCAAAACCCACUGAGAAAACUCCCACAGGGCCCAGACCCCAUUGGGAAAACUCCUACGGACACAAAACCCGUUAAGAACCCCCCACCCCCACAGGGCCCAAAACCCAAUGAGAAAACCUCCAUACACCCAAACCCCAUUGAGAAAACUCCCACGGGGCCCAGACCCCAUUAGGACAUCUUUGAUGGAUACAAAACCCAUUGAGAAAAAUCCCGUACACCCAAACCCCACUGAGAAAACCCCCAUCGACCCCAAACCCCAUUGAGAAAACUCCCACAGACCCAAAACUCAAUGAAAAAGAAAACUUCUACAGAGCCAAAAUCCACUGAGAAAAAUCCUACAGACCCCAAACCCACUGAGCAAAUUCCCACAGGGCCCAAACCCCAUUGGGAGAACUCCUAUGGACCCGAAACCCAUUGAGAAAACUCCCAUAGACCCAAAUCCUAUUGGGAAAAAUCCUACUGACCCAAAACCCACUGAGAAAACUCCCACAGACCCAAAACCUAUUGGGAAAAUCCUACUGACCCAAAACCCAUUGAGAAAAUUCCCACAGGGCCCAAAACCCAUUGAGAAAUCUCCCAUACACCCAAACCCCAUUGAGAAAAGUCCCACGGGGCCCAAAUCCCAUUGGGAAAACUCCGAUGGACACAAAACCCAUUGAGAAAACCCUCCUGGACCCGAAACCCAUUGAGAAAACUUCUACAGACCCAAAACCCACUGAGAAAAAUCCUACAGGGAUUAGGGUUAGGGUUAGGGUUAGAGUUAUGGGGUCAGGGUUAGGGUUAGAGUUAUGGGGUCAGGGUUAGGGUUAGCGUUAUGGGAUCAGGGUUAGGGUUAGCGUUAUGGGGUCAGGGUUAGGGUUACUGUUAUGGGGUCAGGGUUAGGGUUAGAGUUAUGGGGUCAGGGUUAGGGUUAGAGUUAUGGGGUCAGGAUUAGGGUUAGCAUUAUGGGGUCAGGGUUAGGGUUGGGGUUAGGGUUAGAGUGUUAGGGUCAGGUUUCAGUUUAGGACUGGUGUUGGGUAUGGGGUUGGGGUCGAGGUUGAUUUAUAGGGUCAGAGUUAUGGGGUUAGAGUUAUAGGGACAGGGAUACGGUUUGGGUUAGAGUUAUAGGGUCAGGACUGGUUGGGGUUAGGGUCUGUGUCAGCAUCAGGUUAGGGUUAGGAUCAUAGGGUGAGGGUUGGGUUAUAGGGUCAGGGUUAGGGUCAGGGCCAAGGUUAGGGUUAGGGUUACAGGGUCAGAGUUGGGGCCAGGGUUGGUUGGGGUUGGGGUCAGUGUCAGGGUUAGAGUUGGGGUUAGGGUUGGGGUUAUAGGGUCAGGGUCAGGGUUAGAGUUUGGGUUAUAGGGUUAGGGUCAGGGUCAAGGCUAGGAUUAGGAUUAUAGGAUCAGGGUUAGGAUUGGGGUUAUAGGGUGAGGGUCAAUGGUUAUGGUUAGGGUUAUAGGAUCAAGGUCAGGGUCAAGGUUAGAGUUAUGGGAUCAGGGUUAUAGGGUUAGAGUCAGGGUUAGGGUUUGGAUUAGGACUAGGAUUAGGGUUAGGGUUAUAGGAUCAAGGUCAGAGUUAUAGGGCUAGGGUCAGGAUAAGAAUCAUAGGGUCAGGGUUAGGGUUGGGGUUAGGAUUAUAGGGUCAGGGUCACAGGGUCAGGGUUGGCGCUAUAGGGUCAGGGCUACAGGAUCAGGGUUGGGGUUGUAAGGUCAGGGUUGGGGUCACAGGGUCGUAGUUGAGGUUAUAGGGUCAGGGUUGUAGGGUCAGGGUUGGGACCAUAGGAUCAGGGUUGGGCUUAUAGAGUCAGGGUUACAGGAUCAGGGUUGGGGUCAUAGGGCCAGGGUCAGGGUUAUAGGGUCAGGUUGGGGUUAUAGGGUCAGGGUUACAGGGUCUGGGUUGAGACCAUAGGGUCAGGGUUGGGGUUAUAGGGUCAAGGUUGGGGUCAUAGGGUCAGGGUUGGGAUUGUAGGAUCAGAGUUGGGGUUAUAGGGUCAGGUUUGGGACCAUAGGGUCAGGAUUGGGGUCAUAGAGUCAGGAUUACAGGAUCAGGGUUGGGGUUAUAGGGUCAGGGUUGGGGUUAUAGGGCCAUGGUUGUAGGGUCGGGGUUAUAGGGUCAGGGUUGGGGUUAUAGGGUCAGGGUUGGGGUUGGUGUUAUAGGGUCAGGGUUGUAGGGUUGGGGUCAGUGUCAGCGCAGUGUGGGUCCGCUGCCCAUAGCGGUGCCAAUGGGGUCACAUCGCCGCUCAGCCCUUACAGUGAGCAGAGCUGCGUUAAUUGUACGGCGUUAAUUGCCGUAUCUCUGUAAUUAGCGCUCAUAAAGAGGCAAUUCAAUCCCAUUAAGGAUUAUUGGCUCAUUAAGAGCCCUCUGUGCACACAGCAGUCCGGGAUGCGCACUGAGGGCACUGCGGGGCAAAUGGGGCCGGGAGGGAAAACCCCAUUUGGGUUUGGGGUGAAUGUGUUGGAAAGGAGAACCCCAUUUGGGUUUGGGGUGAAUGUGUUGGGAGGAGAAAACCCCAUUUGGGUUUGGGGUGAAUGUUCUGAGAGGAGAAAACCCCAUUUGGGUUUGGGGUGAAUGCAUUGGAAUGGCAAAACCUCAUUUGGAUUUGGGGUGAAUGCAUUGGGAUUUGAAAUCCCAUUUGGGUUUGGGGUGAAUGCAUUGGAAAUGGAAAUCCCAUUUGGGUUUGGGGUGAAUGCGUUGGAAAGGAAAACCCCAUUUGGAUUUGGGGUAACUGUGGGAAAUCCCAUUUGGGUUUGGGGUGAAUAGAUUGGAAUGGCAAAACCCGCUCUGGAUUUGGGGUGAGGGUGUUGGAAACAGAAAACCCCAUUUGGGUUUGGGGUGAAUGCACUGAGAGGAGAAAACCCCAUUUGGGUUUGGGGUGAAUGUUUUGGGAGGAG